rnacentral:rRNA from 1 species
AGAGUUUGAUCCUGGCUCAGGACGAACGCUGGCGGCGUGCUUAACACAUGCAAGUCGAGCGAGAACCAGGCCUUCGGGCCUGGGGAAAGCGGCGAACGGGUGAGUAACACGUGGGUAAUCUGCCCUCGGCACCGGAAUAGCCCGGGGAAACCCGGAUUAAUGCCGGAUAGCCUCUCCGGUCCUUGGACUGGUGAGAAAAGGUAGCUUCGGCCUCUGGCCGAGGAGGAGCCCGCGGCGGAUUAGCUUGUUGGUGAGGUAACGGCUCACCAAGGCGACGAUCCGUAGCUGGUCUGAGAGGACGAUCAGCCACACUGGGACUGAGACACGGCCCAGACUCCUACGGGAGGCAGCAGUGGGGAAUCUUGCGCAAUGGGCGAAAGCCUGACGCAGCGACGCCGCGUGCGGGAAGAAGGCCUUCGGGUUGUAAACCGCUUUCAGGAGGGACGAAGCCACUCGGGUUAAUAGCCCAGAGGGUGACGGUACCUCCAGAAGAAGCCCCGGCUAACUACGUGCCAGCAGCCGCGGUAAUAC